GAUGAACGCUAGCGGCAGGCCUAAUACAUGCAAGUCGAACGGUGUCUUCGGACAUAGUGGCGCACGGGUGCGUAACACGUAUGCAACCUACCUUACAUUGGGGGAUAGCCUUUCGAAAGGGAGAUUAAUACCGCAUAAGACAGUAGCUGGGCAUCCAGCAGCUGUUAAAGAUUUAUCGAUGUAAGCUGGGCAUGCGUCCAAUUAGCUAGUUGGUGAGGUAACGGCUCACCAAGGCAAUGAUUGGUAGGGGAACUGAGAGGUCAAUCCCCCACACUGGCACUGAGAUAGGGGCCAGACUCCUACGGGAGGCAGCAGUAGGGAAUAUUGGGCAAUGGACGCAAGUCUGACCCAGCCAUGCCGCGUGCAGGAUGAAGGCGUUAUGCGUUGUAAACUGCUUUUAUACAGGAAGAAACGACUCUUGCGAGAGGCAUUGACGGUACUGUAUGAAUAAGCACCGGCUAACUCCAUGCCAGCCGCCGCCGUAAUAC
rnacentral:rRNA from 1 species